GAGAGGUGAAAGACUCUCACAAAAGGAGAGGUAAAAACUACACCGAAAACUCAAAGAGUCUAUGUGACUUAUUCCAAAUAUAAAGAAACCGCAAAAAGAAUAGUGGUAGAGAUCCGACACCGAGACGCAUAUGGAGAUCCGAUGCCGAGAUGCAUCCGUCUAUGAUAAGACAAAGGAGCCAUUGCCGUCAACCCUGCCUUUACCCUCACUCAAUCUCUCACUUUCUCUUAUGGUCGUGAUAUCUCAACCCUAAAUUUGGUAUUUAUAAUUUGUUAUUGGAGAACUUAUAGGUUUUUCGGAGUAGUUUGGCCUUGAAGACUACAUGUUUUACAAAUUAAGAUCCAUGGAAGGUUUCCUUGAGAUUGGAUGGUUUGGGUUGUGUGCUUGGGAAGUAGGAUUCUGGUACCGUUUAUUUGAUUUGGUAUAUUUGGUCCACUAGUUUGCAUGUGAACUAGCUAGUUUUUAUUGUAAUUUUAUGUUUCUGCAAUUUUUUUUAUAUGCUUGUGUUUACUAGCGGGAUUCCGUUCAUUUUUGAA